UAUCACCGAGUGCUUGCACUCACCGAUAAAGAGUUGAGUGGCGAACGGGUGAGUAACACGUGGGCAACCUGCCCAAAAGAGGGGGAUAACACUUGGAAACAGGUGCUAAUACCGCAUAACCAUAGUUACCGCAUGGUAACUAUGUAAAAGGUGGCUAUGCUACCGCUUUUGGAUGGGCCCGCGGCGCAUUAGCUAGUUGGUGGGGUAAAGGCUUACCAAGGCAAUGAUGCGUAGCCGAACUGAGAGGUUGAUCGGCCACAUUGGGACUGAGACACGGCCCAAACUCCUACGGGAGGCAGCAGUAGGGAAUCUUCCACAAUGGGCGAAAGCCUGAUGGAGCAACGCCGCGUGGGUGAAGAAGGUCUUCGGAUCGUAAAACCCUGUUGUUAGAGAAGAAAGUGCGUGAGAGUAACUGUUCACGUUUCGACGGUAUCUAACCAGAAAGCCACGGCUAACUACGUGCCAGCAGCCGCGGUAAUACGUAGGUGGCAAGCGUUAUCCGGAUUUAUUGGGCGUAAAGGGAACGCAGGCGGUCUUUUAAGUCUGAUGUGAAAGCCUUCGGCUUAACCGGAGUAGUGCAUUGGAAACUGGGAGACUUGAGUGCAGAAGAGGAGAGUGGAACUCCAUGUGUAGCGGUGAAAUGCGUAGAUAUAUGGAAGAACACCAGUGGCGAAAGCGGCUCUCUGGUCUGUAACUGAC
rnacentral:rRNA from 1 species